UUACGGCCAUAUCACACUGAAACACGGGUUCCCGUACGAUCGCCGAAAUUAAAAAACGUCGAGCUUGAUAAGUAACUACAUGGCUUACCGUUUGGGAAUGUCAGGGGUUGUAAU